rnacentral:lncRNA from 1 species
CAGCACUACUGGGUUUUCCAGGCUUCUUCACUACUCCAGCUCAGCUUAGGAAAACGGCAUAAAACUAAUGAAACUGAUCUGUGAAUGAAUGCUGUAGCAUUAACAUACUGAAGGUCCAAAUCAGAGCUUAGCCUAUAGCUCUAUCGUACUCGGAUAUCAAAGCAGGAAUGGACAGUGAAGGAGGGAAGCAAAAGGAAGCCCCACGGUGGAAUGGGAAAGAGUAAAAAGGGAGUGGAUGGAUGAGUGUUUCAGAGAUGGGAGAUUCUUCCAGAAGAAGUGGAGUGGAGAACGCCUUCACUAUGGCCUCCAAUUACAGUUAAUAUGAAAGAACCCAUGAGGGUGAGCCGAAAGUCAGGGAAGAAAACACUGUGGAUAUUCACUCCUCCAGAGCAGCUGAGGCUCAUCUGCAAGGGUCAUAGCGGUCCCUUCAUCCUUCAGCUACUGGGGUACAUCACUCCUGUCUGUUCUUCGCCUGCUGUCACCCCACAUAGCAAGGAAGAAGACAAGGGGUUGCUGGUACAUCCCUCCAGAUGUCCUUCCGCUGUGGAAUCAGAUUACAGUUGGAUGUCCUCCCCAUUUAACAUGGGUAAAUAUUAGCUGCAUGGAAAACAACAUCAGAGGCUUAGCUAUGCAGUGAAUGUUGCAUGGAGAAGUAACACUGCAGUGAGGUCAACCCUACAUUUUAUUCAUGUAUUUUCACUUGGCCAGGUUACAUUUCUACAGAGACUGUGACCAUGAGUGUGGUGAUAACCUCCCACUGAGAUGCAACCUCUGAAAUUAAAACCUUCUGCACUUUCUAGAGUUUGUUAGGAAGUGACUGUGUGUAAAUGGACAAGAUAUUUGUCAGGCUAAAUGCAGUUUAUGGAGAAGUUUCUUAACUGCUUGCAUCCUUAGAAACACUACUGCACAUAAUUGGAGUGGGUAAUAAAACGAUUCCAGGAUGAUCGAU